GCCACCCCAAGCCAUGGACAUCCUUGGCAGGGUAGGUGCCUGCAAAACCCGUAUUCGGCGGUUCGAAUCCGCCCGGUGCCUC
rnacentral:tRNA from 1 species